CAAUAGCGUAUAUUAAAGUUGUUGCAGUUAAAAAGCUCGUAGUUGGAUUUCGGGGUGGCCUGCCUGGUCCACCGCAAGGUGAGUACUGGUCAGCCGCCCUUCCUCUCGAAAGCCCCGACUGCUCUUCAUUGCAGUGGUCGGGUAGUUCGGGACGUUCACUUUGAAAAAAUUAGAGUGUUCAAGGCAGGCUAUCGCCUGAAUACAUUAGCAUGGAAUAAUGGAAGAGGACCUCGGUCCUAUUUUGUUGGUUUCUAGGGCCGAAGUAAUGAUUAAGAGGGACAGUUGGGGGCAUUCGUAUUUAAUUGUCAGAGGUGAAAUUCUUGGAUUUAUGAAAGACGAACUAGUGCGAAAGCAUUUGCCAAGGAUGUUUUCAUUAA
rnacentral:rRNA from 1 species